AAAGCACUUUCAGUCGUGAGGAAGGUAGUGUAGUUAAUAGCUGCAUUAUUUGACGUUAGCGACAGAAGAAGCACCGGCUAACUCCGUGCCAGCAGCCGCGGUAAUACGGAGGGUGCGAGCGUUAAUCGGAAUUACUGGGCGUAAAGCGCAUGCAGGUGGUUUGUUAAGUUCAGAUGUGAAAGACCCGGGGCGUCAACCUCGGAAUAGCAUUUGAAACUGGCAGACUAGAGUACUGUAGAGGGGGGUAGGAAUUUCAGGUGUAGCGGUGAAAUGCGUAGAGAUCUGAAGGAAUACCGGUGGCGAAGGCGGCCCCCUCGGACAGAUACUGACACUCAGAUGCGAAAGCGUGGGGAGCAAACAGGAUUAGAUACCCUGGUAG
rnacentral:rRNA from 1 species